rnacentral:lncRNA from 1 species
CUCCAUAUCAAACUUUCAUAAGGUUAGCCUUAUCAGGAAUAGAAAACAUGCAAUUCAAUUCUUAUUAGAAAAGAAACUUUGAUACAACAAAUGAUACUUUGGCAGUCUUUCCCAAAGCUUAAACACACACAAAACAUAAAUACAUCACUUUAUUGGUGCAUGACAAUUUUAAAUAGAAGAAAAGGUAAAACAUUGAGGGUGCACAUAUGUUUCACAAAUUGUCAUUUAAUGAACAAUUUAUUGGGAUUGUUUAAAAAAAUAUUUAACUAUUAAAUUUUUAAGUUAAAUAUUUUUUUU